UACGAAGGGGGCGAGCGUUGUUCGGAUUUACUGGGCGUAAAGGGCGCGCAGGCGGUUCUGUUUGUCGAGUGUGAAAGCCCCGGGCUCAACCUGGGAACUGCGCUCGAAACGGCGGAACUAGAGUUCGGGAGAGGAGAGUGGAAUUCCCAGUGUAGAGGUGAAAUUCGUAGAUAUUGGGAAGAACACCGGUGGCGAAGGCGGCUCUCUGGACCGAUACUGACGCUGAGGCGCGAAAGCGUGGGUAGCAAACAGG
rnacentral:rRNA from 1 species